AGGGAUGACCAGGUUGUUAAUCCGGUCCUAACUGUUUCUUUCUCUGUCCCUCUCUUGCAGCACCUGACUGAAUGGAGGAGCAAGUGGACGGGAAGUUCCUGCGCCACACACAGAUCACAUUUAUUACUCUCGCCCUCAGAGACCCGGAGAUCCAAACCGUUCGCAUGGUGCCUUGAAGCAGCCUGUGCUCAUGUGCUUCUCCCAGGGAGAAGGCGGAAUGGCAGUGACUGGCCACGUUAAGCCACAGGGUGCACACUCUGCAGCUGUCAAGCCCAGCUCUGCGUCAGCUCACACCUGCGAUUUUGCGCCGCACACGCGGAUUUGAGCUGUCGCUGGUUGUUGCAGCGUUUGGCUUUGGUGAGGACAGCGUGUGUUUGUCAGCAGUUGGUGUAGGUGGAAUCUUGAGGAGAAAGUGAUAUUUCCGUGCCAGAACUGGUUGGUGUUUGCAUGGUAUUGUGGCGGUUGUUCCCGCAGGCAAUGAGUGCUGGAGUGUUAUUGCAGGAAAGGGGAUUUUGGAGCUUGUCUGUGAGAUGCACCAGAGGCAGCAGCUGAAAGCGGAAGGCUGAGAUUUGGAGAGUUUGUGGGUGGGUUUUGGGCGGUUGUCAGCUGAAGAGUUGGCUGUUUGCAGGUGAGGUGUAGGGCAGAGGGUGAAGCUGACUUUGCCUGGGCGGCGCAACUGGCUGGGUGUGCAGAGCUGAGGAGAGCGGGCUGCUGCGGGUGACCCUAAAGCUGGAGAACCGGCCGGCAGCUCCAGAGGCUCCCGCUGCCGGGCAGGGCCGUGCAGGCCAGUGCCCUGGGGCACAGCGACGUGACCCUCCGCAAGGAACAAAGAGCAGGUGGAGCAGCGUGCAAAGGAAAAGCAAGGAAGGAGGUGAACCUGUGAGGAAGAGUGAUGGAUAAAGAGGGUUGGAGCUCACCUGCCAAUCAAGAGGGAUCAAGAAAGAAGACACCGGUGGUGGAACCGCAGGUUCAGUGCCCGAGCCUCAUUUGGUUGUAUCUGUAAACAUUAAACAUCUCAGCACGAAUCACAACUGCAUUUCUCACAGACAGAAGUGCCUGAACUCCACAGCUUGCCUGGCAGUGCAGAGAGCAGGAAGUGUGGUGAGUCCUGGGCCCUUGGGGACAUUUCACCCUGUUUUGUGUCCCAGUCCCUCCCUGCUCCCUCCUCUUUCCUACUGUGCCCUUCUUCCUCUUCAUCUCUUCUCCCUCUGUCCCUCUGCUGCUUCCUCACCUAUUCCUCCACCCUUCUGAAUCUCUGUGCAGGGUUUCUCGUAUCUCCCUCUCCGUACCCACCCCUCUGUGUUCUCACCAUCCCUGGUUUCUCUUUGUCGUCAUUCUUGUCUGUUGCUCUGUCCUGCUCCGUGCCCCAUCAUUUCUCACUGUAUCCCUCUGUCCUGCUCCCUGCGCCUG